rnacentral:lncRNA from 1 species
GCAGAAAUUUAAUUUACUGUAUUUUGCAAAACUCUUAUAAAUUAAAUAAAUGAGAAAUAUGAUUAUGUAAGACAACCUAUAGGUUUUGAAACCUUGAAAAAAUAAUAAUAAUACCUAUGAUAUCAUGAAAAAAUUAGAAAUAUAUAAAAUUCCUAAGUAAUAAAAAUUUAUGUACAUGAGAGGAAUACAUAAAAAAGAUGAACAGAAGAUUAAAAAAGAGGAUAAAGAAACGUUGGACAGAUAUUGCAUCAGAGAGGGACAUUACUAUGUUAACAACAAGAGCAUAUGAGUAUAACAUAGCAAUGGAAUUGGAGAGAGCAGUUAUUUUGAGAUCAAUAGAAAGGAACACUCAGGAGAAGACAGCAGAAGCAAUAGAAAUUGCUAAAUAUAGAAUAAACUAUAAUAUAGCAAAUGAAAAUAUUCCAGGAGAACUUCCACUUUGGUGAGAAUAGUGUGUAAAAACAUAGCUUAUAAAGAUCAUGUAUAAAAUAUACUAUCCUAUGUAAAAAAAAAAAAAAGCAGAGAUAGAGAUGAAAAAUGAGUAAAGAAAUGUAUAUUCAAUUUUAUAUAUCCG